rnacentral:lncRNA from 1 species
GGGAAAGAAACAAAUAUGUGUAUGAUCCCAUCGACAAGCAAGAAUAGCCAUGUUGGCAUGAGCGAGAAACACACUCCUGCAUUGAGGUUUGGAUUGCCAACCUCGUCGGCUGUCCUUAGGGCCAGAUGGACUAAGCGGGCUUUUGGGCUCAGCCCAAGCAAGAAUUAGUUUGGUGCCAGCUUGGGUCUUCUUAAGAGAGAUGAAGGCCGAGUCAAGUCAGCUUGUUUCACUUGUCCCUGCGACGUGCCAAGCCCAGUUUAACCCACGCUAGCCAAUCAGGUUUUAGCCCAAGUGCAGCCCAAUAUGGCAAGGCCCCAAAACUUUUAAGUUAUGUCUUCAACACCUUGUAGGAUGUGUUGUUAUACAUUAUUCACACUAGUAAAAUUGCCGAGCUUUGCAAGGAGAGAAUAUUAUGUUCACAUCUCUCAGAUUUAGUUUCAAAACCACUUGAUCAUGAACUGACAACUUGAACCAUGACAUCAGCUGCCUCUUAAUUUAAUCCUUGACGGAAUGAUCACCAUUGCAAAACCGCUGCAAUGACAUGCAUCACCGAUGACGUCCAGGCCCAUGCACCAUUGCUAGCGGCAGGUCUACAUGAGCUCGUCCUAUCCACCGGUUCGAUGCGGUUGAACAUGUACCCUUUGCGGUUUUUCUAUGCUCCGUUGUCAUAUAUGUCUGNN